CUACGGGUGGCAGCAGUGGGGAAUAUUGCACAAUGGGGGAAACCCUGAUGCAGCGACGCCGCGUGAAGGAUGAAGGAUUUCGGUUCGUAAACUUCUAUCAGCAGGGAAGAUAGUGACUGUACCUGACUAAGAAGCCCCGGCUAACUACGUGCCAGCAGCCGCGGUAAUACGUAGGGGGCAAGCGUUAUCCGGAAUUACUGGGUGUAAAGGGUGCGUAGGCGGCUGAUUAAGCCAGAUGUGAAAGCCCGGGGCUCAACCUCGGGACUGCAUUUGGAACUGGUCGGCUAGAAUACAGGAGAGGUAAGUGGAAUUCCUAGUGUAGCGGUGAAAUGCGUAGAUAUUAGGAGGAACACCAGUGGCGAAGGCGACUUACUGGACUGUUAUUGACGCGGAGGCACGAAAGCGUGGGGAGCGAACAGGAUUAGAUACCCCGGUAGUC
rnacentral:rRNA from 1 species